rnacentral:pre_miRNA from 1 species
GUCAUGGGGGCUCCAAAGUGCUGUUCGUGCAGGUAGUGUGAUUACCCAACCUACUGCUGAGCUAGCACUUCCCGAGCCCCUAGGACA